ensembl:lncRNA
AUGCCUUGUUAUUUUCCAGCAACCCAAGCAUUACCACGACCAUGCAGAGAUACGUCCGUUCCAGGUCUAACUUGCGGAAUUGAUGGAUCAACUCAUAAGAGUGUGAUGAGACACUGUUUCACGGGACCUUGCAAUAGAAAAAAUAAAAAUCUACAGGAACAAGACAAACACGUCACAAAGUCCAGACGUCUGUAUUGUGCUGGACGAACUUUCCACGGGCUUGCUGUCUGCCGGUUUGAUUUGCGUAUGCAAAUUCAAAGAAAGUUUUCCUGGAGCUCAACAGUCCAAAGCUGUCCCCUACAGGUAAAAGCCUAUCUUAAGAUAAAGGACCCUUUAAAGAAAAAAGGGGAAUUGUUGUUACUGUUACUCUCAUGUGGUUACUGUUUGUUAAAUGCUUGUUUAUUAUAUUUUUAAGAUUGAUAUUGAGAAGUGUAGGUUUGCUAUCUACCCCUUCUUUAAACCGUGCAUAUUUAACACAGCUGUUCCUGUACGUAUUUAUACAAAUUUGCACAAGGCAUCUACUCAGGAAAACUAGCCACCUUGGAUGCCAAGAGCCAUGCAAUCCGAGGUGAGACUACAGGCUCAAAGACUUUUAACCGUGAGCGCGCGAUGGGUGAGUGUCGGGAAGUUGCGGUUCAGAUUAGUGGCGUUCCAGUUAAGUGCUUGUUGGAUACAGGGAGUGAGAUUAGCACUAUUUCUGAAUCUUUCUUCAGACAACACCUACUAGGGAAAGAGGAGGAUGUGUUCCCCGCCGCUAAGUGGCUCAAGUUGACUGCAGCGAACUCUUUGCCGAUUCCCUACAUGGGUUAUGUUGAACUGGAUAUGGAGGCUAUGGGGUUAAACAUACCAGAGUGUGGCUUUUUGGUCGUCAAAGUCAAAGAUCUAUUCCCAGUGUCAGCUGACGAAAAGGAGGAGUUAAAACAACAAGAGUCAUUGGUUUGAGCAUAAUAAAGAGAUGCAAGCAGUUGGUUACGGCAGAGUUUGACACCACCUUUUAAGGGAGAGCUUGAUCCAGACUGGAGGGAAGUAUUUCAGCGUGUACAGACAUGUGAGAUAUCAGAGAAAAUAUCUGCAGCGAGGAUAGCGGGCCGAGAUACAGUACACGUACGGGCGGGUUCUGUUGCCACAGUCUAUGCAAAAGGAAUCAAACCAGUAUCUGAUGAGGGCACCUAUUUGGUGUUGGAGCCUGCUGAGACGCCUUUGCCGGGUGGUCUUGUGAUAGUGCCCACUUUAAUAGAGGCUACUAGGCAUGUGUUCCCAGUGCAGGUGGUGAACUUCUCUCUGGAGGAUGUAUGGUUAAAACCUAGGACAAGAUUAGGCAUCAUGUCUCUCGUGGAGUGUGUUGAAAAUGACCAGAUAAAGGUGCGCUUCCAGCGAAUCUCCGCAGACCAAGAAGAAGUGACUGUUGACCAGAAAAACAACUCUGAAGCGGGAAAUGACGUUCAGUCAAUGCUGGACCGGCUGCACAUAGGUGGUACGGAGGAAGAGCAGGCUAAGCUACCUGCGCUUCUAGCUCUGUAUGCAGAUGUGUUUGCGUUCCAAGAUGAGGACCUAAGUAGACAGUAGUCUACGGCUAUGUGUUGAUUACAGGAAAUUAAACUCAAAGACCCAAUGUGAUGCUUUUCCUUUGCCUCACAUUGACGAAUGUUUUGAUGCCCUUCAUGGUGCAAAAUUCUUUUCGACUAUUGACCUUGCUAGCGGGUACCAUCAGGUUGCACUGCAUGAUGAUGACGACAGGCAUAAACGUCCUUUACAACACCCUUUGGGUUGUACGAGUAUUCUCGGUUGCCUUUCGGCGUGUGUAAUGGGCCAGCAACAUUCCAGCGACUGAUGCAGGUAACAGAUCAUAGAAGGGUUCUCUAAGCUGGCAGGCCCACUACACUACAUGGUUAAUGCAUGCCUCAGAAGCAACAGUCCAUCCAGGUCUAAACAGCUCUUUGGGAGUUUAUGGACUGCAGAGUCGGAGGCUGCGCAAUGCAGAGAAAAAUGACAGUAACUACAGCAGUAUGAAACUUUAACUGCUUGCCCUUAAGUGGGCAGUUUCAGAGAAAUUUAGAGGUUACCUCUUUAGGCUCUAAAUUCACUGUUAUCACAGAUAACAGCCCCUUGUGUCACCUAAAUACCGCCAGAUUAGGCGCCAUCGAACAGCGUAGCUCAGCUAGCAGUGUUUGACUUUGAGGUCAAGUACCGGCCAAGGCGCUGUAAGACAGCUGCAGAUGCCCUGUAAUGUAAGAAGGGGAACAGCUUUAGGGCAAGAACUGGGGACUGCAGGGACCAAGUGUUGUAGGGUGAGACAGGUAUGUGCCUCAGAGACUGGAUGGUGGGAGUGACUGGCAGGGUAACACCCCGACUUUUCCUGGGUACUCUAAGGAAGAGCUCUGCCAAUUUCAAAGAACAGAUCCCACACCCAGUGCAUUUAUAGGCAGUUCUGGGAAAAGAAGCAGAAACCCACCUNNNNNNNNNNGUAAGGAGACGACAAGGUUAACCAAGCCUGUCGUGUCCUUAUUGAGGCAGUGGCACUGGAUCAGUAAGGAGACGACAAGGUUAACCAAGCCUGUCGUGUCCUUAUUGAGGCAGUGGCACUGGAUCAAGGAGAGGAAUGGUUUACUCUACCGUGAUUGAUGAUGUCCAUGUGGGUGAAUGUCACCAGCUCCUGUUACCCAACUGUUUGAGAGAACCAGUCCUAGAGAGUGUACAUGAUCAGAUGGGGCAUCAAGUAAUAGAGCGAACACAAAAUCUUCUGAGACAGGUGUUUCUGGGUGGG